ensembl:lncRNA
AUGGGGUCUCUCUCUGUUACCCAGGCUGGUCUUGAACUCCUGGCCUCAAGCAAUCCUCCCACCUUGGCCUCCCAAGGUGCUGGAAUUACAGGCGUGGGCCACCGCACCCGGCCUCCAGCCCCACUUCUCACCCUCAGAGCCAGGCACGGAGCCUCCUGUGAACCUGGGCUCGACUACAUUCCCACAUCUCUCUCCUGGACUCGGACAGCACCUCAGCAGGAAGGACCACCAAAAAUCCUCAUGUUUCCCCCAGAUCAACGCUUCCUGAUCCUUCUAUGCCAGAAACUAAUUAAGAGUCCCUGUGGACACUGUCAAUGUCCCACCAGCCACUCCCCACUGGCCCCUCUUUCCCUCCUACUGCAAAGAUCCUGGCCCAGACCCCGGAUGCGCCCUGCCUCUCUUCCCCCUCCCCUCCCCGACUCCUCUCUUUCCCCUUGCCCACCUCAUCCCAUUGCCCUGCACACCAGUGAGGCUGGGUCUGCUCUGCAGAGACCUCCAUUGACACAGGCACUGUCUGAGGGGCACCCGGCGGGUGGAAAGAGAGAAACCAUCUUGCACCUUCACCUGGCCUCUAAAUGCUGCUGCUGGCCUCCCUCCAACCCUCAGCCUCACCUCUCUCGCCCAGCUCUGCAGUCGCCUGCUCCACCCAGGCCAGCCUGCUCCUGGCGCCUGGGCAGUCUGGGCGGGAGUCUCUGCCUCUCCCUAUCAAAGCCCCUCCACCAAGGCCAGUUCAAGGGCUGCCUCUCAGACUGCAGAGGCGUUACCGAUCCCCCACAUAGAGUGGCCAGUGGGUCCCAUCCUGUGUGUUCCCAGGGUACAGAAUUGGGAGAAGGAAGAGGGGCUCCUGCAUCCAGGCUCCCGGCUAUACCUGUCCCACACUCUGUGUGGCAGCCCUGCAGUUCCUGCCUGUCACCUUCACAGGGGGCGCCUCCCCAGGCUGCCGGAGGGUUGGAGGGAGACCUGGGGAGAGAGGCAGCCCUCAGCACCUGCUCUGCUCUCUCCCUGCCCUCACUCCUGCCUUCUUCAUCCUUCAUCACCUGUCCACCAUCUUCCCCCUACCGCCCCCUCAGGGCUAGCCUGGCUCCUUGCCUCCCUGGCCCCCACCAUUCCUUCUCACACUGCCGCCCACCCGCUGUCACACACCUGAACCUGGCCCUCACUCCAGAGCCACAGGAGCGGUCGCAGGGAGCCCAGGAGGACCAGGCUGACCAGCCGCAGGGCAGGGGGCAGCCCCCUGGUUGGCACAGCAACUCCCCCUUCUCACACACACUGCAGGGGAGGGAGAGGCUGAGGAACUGGUCAGGGCUGGGGAGACCCCGGCACAGUGCCCUCCCUGGCGCGGCCGCCCUCACCAUUGGCUGCAGUUGGCCAGGACGAAGGACACCCCCGGCCACUUCAGCUCUUCGCCCACCAGGCAGGGGCACUCAGAGAGGGGCAGGCAGCGAGUGUCAUGCAGAAGGAGUCCCGGGGGACAGCGGCAUCCUGGGUGUGUGUGGAAGAGGGCACUCAGCCCCAAGGGGCACAGCAGUGAGGGGAAGCUGGAGACUGGGGGCUGGUGGGCCUGGGUGGGCACCCCACAGUCUCCCUGCAGGCCAGGUCUGCCUCACCUUCCACGCAAUGCCCACUGCAGCUUCUGUUAGCCUUGGGAUCCAGGCAGGAGGGUGGGCACGGGGACACUAG